rnacentral:misc_RNA from 1 species
GGGGAAUUUUCCGCAAUGGGCGCAAGCCUGACGGAGCAAUACCGCGUGAGGGAGGACGGCUUUUGGGUUGUAAACCUCUUUUCUCAAGGAAGAUGAUGACGGUACUUGAGGAAUCAGCAUCGGCUAACUCCGUGCCAGCAGCCGCGGUAAUACGGGGGAUGCAAGCGUUAUCCGGAAUUAUUGGGCGUAAAGCGUUCGUAGGUGGUUGAACAAGUCUGCUGUUAAAGCGUGGAGCUAAACUCCAUAUAGGCGGUGGAAACUGUUUAACUAGAGUACGGUAGGGGUUACGGGAAUUCCCAGUGUAGCGGUGAAAUGCGUAGAUAUUGGGAAGAACACCAGCGGCGAAAGCGCGUAACUGGGCCUGUACUGACACUGAGGGACGAAAGCUAGGGGAGCGAAAGGGAUUAGAUACCCCUGUAGUCCUAGCUGUAAACGAUGGGUACUAGGUGUUGACCGUAUCGACCCGGUCAGUGCCGUAGCUAACGCGUUAAGUACCCCGCCUGGGGAGUACGCACGCAAGUGUGAAACUCAAAGGAAUUGACGGGGGCCCGCACAAGCGGUGGAGUAUGUGGUUUAAUUCGAUGCAACGCGAAGAACCUUACCAGGGCUUGACAUGUCGCGAAUCUUCUUGAAAGGGGAGAGUGCCUUCGGGAGCGCGAACACAGGUGGUGCAUGGCUGUCGUCAGCUCGUGUCGUGAGAUGUUGGGUUAAGUCCCGCAACGAGCGCAACCCACGUCCUUAGUUGCCAUCAUUCAGUUGGGCACUCUGGGGAGACUGCCGGUGACAAACCGGAGGAAGGUGUGGAUGACGUCAAGUCAUCAUGCCCCAUACGUUCUGGGCUACACACGUACUACAAUGCUGUGGACAGAGAGUUGCCAGACCGCGAGGUUGAGCUAAUCUCAUAAACCACGGCACAGUUCAGAUUGCAGGCUGCAACUCGCCUGCAUGAAGGCGGAAUCGCUAGUAAUCGCAGGUCAGCAUACUGCGGUGAAUACGUUCCCGGGCCUUGUACACACCGCCCGUCACACCAUGGGAGUUGGCCACGCCCGAAGUCGUUACUCCAACCUUUUCGGAGGAGGAGGACGCCGAAGGUAGGGCUGAUGACUGGGGUGAAGUCGUAACAAGGUAGCCGUACCGGAAGGUGUGGCUGGAUCACCUCCUUUAAGGGAGACCUCCCACUGAUGAGGCUCAGUUAGAUGAGCCCAUGAGCUGGUCAACCAAGGUCGGUUGGGGUGAGCGAGAUGGCUUUCAAACUAUAGUUUAGGUAGAGGAAUGGGCUAUUAGCUCAGGUGGUUAGAGCGCACCCCUGAUAAGGGUGAGGUCCCUGGUUCGAGUCCAGGAUGGCCCACCAUUUUGUGGGGGUUUAGCUCAGUUGGUAGAGCGCCUGCUUUGCAAGCAGGAUGUCAGCGGUUCGAGUCCGCUAACCUCCACCAGUAGAGAGUCUGUAAGAGAGAAUUCAGCACCGAGUUAAGCGGAUAGCGUUUAGCAGGAUGCUGAGUGAGAGCUCAGUAAGAACCUUGAAAACUGCAUAGUGAAGAGAUGUCAGGUAGUUUAGCGACUCAUGAUGCGAUGGGAACAUCAAAUGAUGAGUGGCAGAAAACAGAACACCAAUGUGACUGAACGUGGUCAAGCUAAUAAGGGCUCAUGGUGGAUACCUAGGCACACAGAG